GAUGAACGCUGGCGGCGUGCCUAAUACAUGCAAGUCGAGCGAAUGGAUUAAGAGCUUGCUCUUAUGAAGUUAGCGGCGGACGGGUGAGUAACACGUGGGUAACCUGCCCAUAAGACUGGGAUAACUCCGGGAAACCGGGGCGAAUACCGGAUAACAUUUUGAACCGCAUGGUUCGAAAUUGAAAGGCGGCUGCGGCUGUCAAUUAUGGAUGGACCCGCGUCGCAUUAGCUAGUUGGUGAGGUAACGGCUCACCAAGGCAACGAUGCGUAGCCGACCUGAGAGGGUGAUCGGCCACACUGGGACUGAGACACGGCCCAGACUCCUACGGGAGGCAGCAGUAGGGAAUCUUCCGCAAUGGACGAAAGUCUGACGGAGCAACGCCGCGUGAGUGAUGAAGGCUUUCGGGUCGUAAAACUCUGUUGUUAGGGAAGAACAAGUGCUAGUUGAAUAAGCUGACACCUUGACGGUACCUAACCAGAAAGCCACGGCUAACUACGUGCCAGCCGCCGCGGUAA
rnacentral:rRNA from 1 species